rfam:Asian citrus Psyllid, Diaphorina citri - Florida Strain, whole genome shotgun sequence.
GCCUAGUUAUCUUAGUUGGUAGUGCGUCUGCCUUGUAAGCGCUAGGCCGCGGGUUCGAUUCCCGCCCGGGGCG